rnacentral:tRNA from 1 species
GGCCUCGUGGUUCAUAUGUUAGAGCGUGCGCUGUACCAAAGCGUAGGCGGCGUACAUGCGUGGGUUCGAAUCCCAUCGAGGCUA